GGCGUAAACAGAGGGAAGCAAAGGGGCGACCUGGAGCAAACCCCAAAAAUAACGUCCCAGUUCGGACUGCGGCCUGCAACCCGGCCGCACGAAGCUGGAAUCGCUAGUAAUCGCGAAUCAGAAUGUCGCGGUGAAUACGUUCCCGGGUCUUGUACACACCGCCCGUCACACCAUGGGAGUUGGUAAUGCCCGAAGUCAGUGACCCAACCGCAAGGAGGGAGCUGCCGAAGGCAGGACUGAUAACUGGGGUGAAGUCGUAACAAGGUAUC
rnacentral:rRNA from 1 species